rnacentral:lncRNA from 1 species
GCGGGGCAGGUCUCAUGGACGCCAUGGUUACAGGUGUGGGACUCAGAAGACAACUUCAUUCUUUCAGGAAUGAGUUCCCUUCCAUGUGGCUUUCUGGGACGGUGUGCCAUUUAUCAAGGACAAAUGUUUUUAGCAGCUGGACUGCAGUAUCUCCCAGCAAUUAUUUUCCUAAGAAGAGAGCAGAAUAUCUCUCCACAGAAUAUUGCUGCAGUUGUGUGUCUCCAAGAUGAGCCUCUCUGCCAUCUCCCUGGGACAAAAGAAGCAAUCAGGAGAAACUGAGGUGACUGCUUAUCUCCCUGCAGCCUGCCUUCCUGUUACCAUGGCUGCACUGCCCUGCUUGCCUACCAGGUAACUCAGCUCUCUUACUCUCCCUUCAGUCCCCCCUUCCUUUGCUGUAUUAUUCUCAUCAGCAUACACUCACACCAUCAUUUUCCCUUUGUUAACCUAUAUGGCUUAGCUCGGCAUGGUUGGUUUCAACACUAGAGAGGCAGCUGCAGAAGAAGUAGAAUUCAAGAGCCCAGUCUAGCCAGAGCAAGCCCUGUGAUAGUGGGUGGUUCUCAAUGCCCUCUUCAAAUGAACUGCUCUUGACAGACACCACAGACUUGUGAGGUGUGACCCAACAUCAGUACUGCUGGACACAGACGAUCCUUCACACCUUCCUCUCGAGCCACAGGUUCUCCUUUAGUCUCCUUUGGUGGUGUUUUGACUCAACUGGACAGGGUCUUGGGGCUAGUUCUUACAUCUGUCCUAAAUCCUUUACUCUCUUGCUAUUGAUCUCACUAUGUCU